rnacentral:rRNA from 1 species
AGAGUUUGAUCCUGGCUCAGAAUGAACGCUGGCGGCGUGCUUAACACAUGCAAGUCGCACGAGAACGCUUCAGCUUGCUGAAGUUAGUAAAGUGGCGCACGGGUGAGUAACGCGUGGGUAAUCUACCCUUGAAUUGGGGAUAACCCGCCGAAAGGCGGACUAAUACCGAAUGACAUCAUGAUUACUAGGUAUUCAUGAUCAAAGAUGGCCUCUACAUGUAAGCUAUUGUUUGGGGAUGAGCCCGCGUACCAUUAGCUUGUUGGUAGGGUAAUGGCCUACCAAGGCUACGAUGGUUAGCUGGUCUGAGAGGAUGAUCAGCCACACUGGAACUGACACACGGUCCAGACUCCUACGGGAGGCAGCAGUGAGGAAUUUUGCGCAAUGGGGGAAACCCUGACGCAGCAACGCCGCGUGAGUGAUGAAGGCUUUCGGGUCGUAAAGCUCUGUCAAGUGGGAAGAAAUCAUAUGGUGAUAAUACCGCCAUAUGCUGACGGUACCACUGAAGAAGCACCGCUAACU